AAAGGGGCAGGGCAGAUCAGCAGGUUGGAGCAGUGAACACGGAAUGUCCGGCAAGGCUUCUUCUGAAAAGACAUGAUGUUCCACCUCACCUCCAGCCCCAAGGAAUGAAGCCAGCUGUCUAUGGACUGACUUCUGAAACUGAAGACAAGACGGCCAUCCAUGACACAAGGACACAGCCAUCCUCAGAAACUGACCCUUGAUCUGGGCCUUCAGUUCCCCAGCACCAGGAGAAAACUGUCGUCUAAGCCACCCAAUCUGUGAUAUCUCAUGUCAUCCCAGCUGAGAUGGCACUGGUGGCA